rnacentral:rRNA from 1 species
GCAUGCCUAAUACAUGCAAGUCGAGCGGGCUUGAAGAGAAGCUUGNUUAUCUGAUUGNUAACGGCGGACGGGUGAGUAACGCGUAGGCAACCUGCCNUCAAGUUUNGGACAACUACCGGAAACGGUAGCUAAUACCGAANAGNUGUUUUCUUCUCCUGAAGAGAACUGGAAAGACGGAGCAAUCUGUCACUUGGGGAUGGGCUUGCGGCGCAUUAGCUAGUUGGUGGGGUAACGGCUCACCAAGGCGACGAUGCGUAGCCGACCUGAGAGGGUGAUCGGCCACACUGGGACUGAGACACGGCCCAGACUCGNACGGGAGGCAGCAGUAGGGAAUCUUCCGCAAUGGGCGAAAGCCNNACGGAGCAAUGCCGCGUGAGUGAUGAAGGUUUUCGGAUGGUAAAGCUCUGUUGCCAGGGAAGAACGCUUGGGAGAGUAACUGCUCUCAAGGUGACGGUACCUGAGAAGAAAGCCCCGGCUAACUACGGGCCAGCAGCCGCGGUAAUACGUAGGGGGCAAGCGUUGUCGGAAAUUAUUGGGCGUAAAGCGCGCGCAGGCGGUCAUUUAAGUCUGGUGUUUAAUCCCGGGGCUNAACCCCGGAUCGCACNNAUAACUGGGUGACUUGAGUGCAGAAGAGGAGAGUGGAAUUCCACGUGUNGGGGUNAAAUGCGUANAAUNNNGGAGGAACACCAGUGNC